rnacentral:lncRNA from 1 species
CCCAGUUCUUCCAUAUUCAAAGUCCUAUGUUCCAUCACGAUGGGGCAUUGCUCAUCAUGCUGACUCUCAGAUCAUUGAAGUUCAAGAAGAAGUAGAGGAAUCAAGCAUGCACUUCUGAGAUGCCCCCAAAACAAUACACCAUUCACUCAUACAACACAACGGGCCCAUUCUCAGCUCCACCAUCAUCAGUGAUCAAUGGGGUCUUCAGUCUAAAAAGAGAACUCAACUCGGGGGUCCAGCACACUUCCUGGCAUAUAUGAAUGAAAGAAUUGGUUCAUAACUAACUUCAUCUCUGUGUAAGGAAAAGCAUUUCUUUGGAUAGAAGAUGAAUUUGCUCUCCAUUUCUGGCUCCCAAUUUAAUAAGAAUAUCUAAUAGUUUAUAUUCUCCAAAACAAAAAAGAAGUGACAACAAGAAAAUGGAUACCACCUUAUUAUCUUUACAUCAGAAUAUAAUAAUCUUACUUUAACCUCACAAGCAUCCGAUCAACUAAUCACGACAUUGAUUACAUUCUUCAUUUGACAAAUAGGAAAACUGAAACCAAUUGACUUGCCCCAGAACAUCCAUGUAGCAAGUGUUGGAGAUGAUAUUUGAACCCAGGUUUUUCUGUUGCUAAUUCUAGUUCU